rnacentral:tRNA from 1 species
GGGCCGUUAGCUCAGCUGGUAGAGCAGCGGACUUUUAAUCCGUUGGUCAGGGGUUCAAAUCCCCUACGGCCCACCA